UGGGGAAUAUUGCACAAUGGGCGCAAGCCUGAUGCAGCAACGCCGCGUGAGGGACGACGGCCUUCGGGUUGUAAACCUCUUUUGGCAGGGAAGAAGCGAAAGUGACGGUACCUGCAGAAAAAGCACCGGCUAACUACGUGCCAGCAGCCGCGGUGAUACGUAGGGUGCAAGCGUUAUCCGGAUUCACUGGGUUUAAAGGGUGCGUAGGUGGGCAGGUAAGUCAGUGGUGAAAUCUCCGGGCUUAACCCGGAAACUGCCGUUGAUACUAUGUGUCUUGAAUAUUGUGGAGGUAAGCGGAAUAUGUCAUGUAGCGGUGAAAUGCUUAGAUAUGACAUAGAACACCAAUUGCGAAGGCAGCUUACUACACAAUCAUUGACGCUGAGGCACGAAAGCGUGGGGAUCAAACA
rnacentral:rRNA from 1 species